rnacentral:rRNA from 1 species
CAAUGCAAGUCGAACGGCAGCGCGGGGCAACCUGGCGGCGAGUGGCGAACGGGUGAGUAAUAUAUCGGAACAUUUCCAUGUAGCGGGGGAUAACCUGUCGAAAGAUAGGGCUAAUACCGCAUACGAUCUAAGGGUGAAAGCGGAGGGACCGCAAGGCUUCGCUAACCUAUUGGAGUGGCCGAUGUCUGAUUAGCUAGUUGGCUGGGGUAAAAGCCCUACCAAGGCGACGAUCCAGUAGCUGGUCUGAGAGGAACGACCAGCCACACUGGAACUGAGACACGGUCUAGACUCCUACGGGAGGCAGCAGUGGGGAAUUUUUGGACAAUGGGCGAAAAGCCUGAUCCAGCAAUGCCGCGUGAGUGAAGAAGGCCUUCGGGUUGUAAAGCUCUUUUGUCAGGGAAGAAACGGUGUAGGGGCUAAUAUCCCUUGCUAAUUGACGGUUUCCCUGAAGAAUAAGCACCGGCUAACUACGUGCCAGCAAGCCGGGGUAAUACGUAGGGUGCAAGCGUUAAUCGGAAUUACUGGGCGUAAAGCGUGCGCAGGCGGGUUUGGAAGUCUGUCGUGAAAUCCCCGGGUCAAACCUGGGAAUUGGAUGGAG